GACGAACCACACGAACGUUAUUCGGAAUUACUGGGCUUAAAGGGUGCGUAGGCGGCCUGACAAGUUGGGUGUGAAAUACCUCGGCUCAACCGGGGAAUGGCGCUCAAAACUGUUAGGCUUGAGGAAGAUAGAGGUGAGCGGAACUUAAGGUGGAGCGGUGAAAUGCGUUGAUAUCUUAAGGAACACCCGUGGCGAAAGCGGCUCACUGGAUCUUUUCUGACGCUGAGGCACGAAAGCUAGGGGAGCGAACGGG
rnacentral:rRNA from 1 species